ensembl:lncRNA
AAUUUAUUUUUUUAUUUUUUUAUUUUCCCACUGUACAGCAAGGGGGUCAGGUUAUCCUUACAUAUAUACAUUACAAUUACAGUUUUCCCCCCACCCUUUCUUCUGUUGCAACAUGAGUAUCUAGACAUAGUUCUCAAUGCUAUUCAGCAGGAUCUCCUUGUAAAUCUAUUCUAAGUUGUGACUGAUAAGCCCAAGCUCCCGAUCCCUCCCACUCCCUUCCCCUCCCAUCAGGCAACCACAAGUCUCUUUUCCAAGUCCAUGCCAUGAUUUUCUGAGGAGAUGUUCAUUUGUGCUGGAUAUUAGAUUCCAGUUAAAAGUGAUAUCAUAUGGUAUUUGUCUUUGUCUUUCUGGUCUGGCUCACUCAGUAUGAGAUUCUCUAGUUCCAUCCAUGUUGCUGCAAAUGGCAUUAUGUCAUCCUUUUUUAUGGCUGACUAGUAUUCCAUUGUGUAUAUAUACCACAUCUUCCGAAUCCAAUCAUCUGUCGAUGGACAUUUAGGUUGUUUCCAUGUCCUGGCUAUUGUGAAUAGUGCUGCAAUGAACAUGCGGGUGCAUGUGUCUCUUUUAAGUAGAGCUUUGUCCGGAUAGAUGCCCAAGAGUGGGAUUGCAGGGUCAUAUGGAAGUUCUAUGUAUAGAUUUCUAAGGUAUCUCCAAACUGUUCUCCAUAGUGGCUGUACCAGUUGACAUUUGGCUUGAGGUCUAAAGCUGAGCCGAACCCGUCCAUGGCCUUGACUGAUGAGGUGUUUCAGAGGCAGGAUACUUUUCCAGUUAUAUCUAAAUUAUUUUCAAAACACGUGUGUGUGUUUCUGUUUCUAAAAUUCUGCAGUCCUCUUAACCUAUUUUUUUUUUCUUGAGUGGAGGCAACCUAGGCAGGGAAUGGUAUACAAAAAUUGGUUCUUGGACAUUCUUUGUACAUUAUCAAGUACAAGAUGAAAAUAAACCCAGAUUUGGUAUUUUUAACAAAAGAAGACUUGAAAAUAAUGUCAUCGGUGGUACAUAGGAGAUAACCAGAUAAACACAGUUGUUGGUAGAGCUUGGGCGGUGGGGCUCUUGGAUUCUUGGAGCUGGCUUUCCAUUCGUUUUAGGUAUAGUGACCCGAGAGCUUAAAGGUACUUGAAGGUUCCCCCCCCCCCCCACAACACACUCUCUUUUGUUCAUCAGCUAAGGAAAGGAGACCUAUAGAAAGUGUCUCGAGAAGGAGCACAGAACUAGUUGGUGGUAUUACCGCUUCGAAUACCUCAUUCUCAGUAGUCUAAGCUCCCCAGCAGGCUUCCCUUAAGAUCUGCUCUCUGGUUAUGAUGCGCAUGAGCCAUGUGUUUCAUAAAAGUUACCAGGAAAUCACUUACUUGAGAUUUUUAAAAACAGACAUUAUCCGUAUUCUUUUCAGCAUAGUCAACCUUUUUUCCCCCUAAUGAUGGUUUUCCUCAUUAUAUGGCACCACUGGGCUAAGGAUUUUGUAUGCCUUCAUCUCAUUUAAACCUCUCAACAGCCCUCCGAAGGUUUUUAAUUCUAGUUUCUAUAUUGUUACUGAUUCUGUUGAUAGCUUUAUAGUAUAGAAGGCAGCUGUUAUUUACCUUAACUUCACAG